GCUCCUGCAUCCGAAAGUGAUCAUAGGCUGCCUGUGCCUAGGUCAUUGAUAGUGCAGGGAGAGGAACGCUGAAAGAGGUUGUCCCCGUGUUUGGAGGGUCCACCCUAUCCCAUCCGAACCCUGAAGCUUUCACACAACUCCUGUUGCUCUCCUGCCAGCCCUUGAGGAGUCCGGCGCUUGCUUGGCUGCCACAUGAAAGUCAGUGCGGGGGGGCAUCAUGCUUAAGUCUUUCUCAGCUUGACCUCUCUUUGCAGAAACCAGGCUCUGUGUUCUGAGGGGUAGAUCAGGAAGGGAAUGUGAUAUGUAAUGAGUCAUGGUGUGUCGCAGUGGAUAGCACAGUUUCGAAUAAGUGCAAUAUUGGCAUAUAAACAUGAGGGAGACUUUGAGGUUGGGGUGAGCAGGGCUGACCCCGUGUGUGUGUGUGUGUGUGUGUGUGUGUGUGUGUGUGUAUGUGUAACUUGGGGACAGGAUAGGGUAGCAUCUUUACAUCUUUACAUGUCAUUGGCCUGGAAUAGGGGGUCCUGAAGGGUUUGUCGUAAGAAAGAGAAAGUGCUCAUUGCUGCAAGGGGAGCACAGCCGGGUUCUGAGAGGCAAAACACUUCCCUCACUUCCCACCCAAGAGUUUCGCCUGUUCUCUCGACCCUCUGAGGUGUGCAUUGGUGUCACUCACUGGCCACCAUUCCAGCUCUUAAUUCCUCUGCCUUUUGUGCUGGCCUUUGGGGCUCCCCUGAGGAUGACUGGUUCUCAGGUUGCCCCUGGAGGAAUGGGUGGAGUUGUAAGAUCAGGAAUAAAGCUAGAGAGGGAGGACCAAGGGGAAGUCACUGAUGCAGCCGCCGUCUAGCCCAUCCCACCCCGAUUGAGAGGUCGCUUUUUCCUGUUGAACAUGUUGGAUAGUGGAAUGUGUUAUAAGAAGUGAUAUGUGUGGCUUCUUGUCAUUGCAGGAUUGUCAGCUGACCUCUGUCCUGUGUGCCCAGUGGCCCCAGGUGACGUGUCUUCAAGAAGAGGCUGAGCUGCGGUGCUUGUAAGAUGGGUCUGCUGUGUGCAGAGGCUCCAUGGGAUGUGUUGUCUUCAUAGUAGCAGGGCGCUGGACCAUGGGUCCGCAAGGUCUCAGCCUUAGAUCCAAGGACAGUCCAAGGAAGUCCUAAGACCAUGGAGUUGGUGAUCUGGGAUCUGGGUUUGCUGAUAUUUCUCACCGUGAAUCUCUUGGUGGUGUUUGUGGGCACGAGAGGGGCAGAGAAUGGAGAGUGAGGCUACCACAUGAAGCGUCACCAGAGCUGCUCCCUGCUGCCUGCUCAGAGCACCCCGGAUCCACUGUUCAAUCUGCACAAGAUUCGGGGUCCAGACAUGGGAGACUUCAGCUGCCUCAGAGGACCGUGGACAGGGAAGGCCAGCCUCGCAUCCCUCUGUCCAUGCCUGGAAUGACUUUAAUAACCAAGAGUUUUAUUUUUGAAUUUGUAGCUGUCGUUCACUUUUUACCCACCCAUUCAAUAAACCUUACAGAAUUGCU
rnacentral:lncRNA from 1 species